CGGCGUGCUAUACAUGCAGUCGAGCGAACAGAUAAGGAGCUUGCUCCUUUGACGUUAGCGGCGGACGGGUGAGUAACACGUGGGUAACCUACCUAUAAGACUGGGAUAACUUCGGGAAACCGGAGCUAAUACCGGAUAACAUUUGGAACCGCAUGGUUCUAAAGUGAAAGAUGGUUUUGCUAUCACUUAUAGAUGGACCCGCGCCGUAUUAGCUAGUUGGUAAGGUAACGGCUUACCAAGGCGACGAUACGUAGCCGACCUGAGAGGGUGAUCGGCCACACUGGAACUGAGACACGGUCCAGACUCCUACGGGAGGCAGCAGUAGGGAAUCUUCCGCAAUGGGCGAAAGCCUGACGGAGCAACGCCGCGUGAGUGAUGAAGGGUUUCGGCUCGUAAAACUCUGUUAUUAGGGAAGAACAAAUGUGUAAGUAACUGUGCACGUCUUGACGGUACCUAAUCAGAAAGCCACGGCUAACUACGUGCCAGCAGCCGCGGUAAUACGUAGGUGGCAAGCGUUAUCCGGAAUUAUUGGGCGUAAAGCGCGCGUAGGCGGUUUCUUAAGUCUGAUGUGAAAGCCCACGGCUCAACCGUGGAGGGUCAUUGGAAACUGGGAAACUUGAGUGCAGAAGAGGAGAGUGGAAUUCCAUGUGUAGCGGUGAAAUGCGCAGAGAUAUGGAGGAACACCAGUGGCGAAGGCGACUUUCUGGUCUGUAACUGACGCUGAUGUGCGAAAGCGUGGGGAUCAAACAGGAUUAGAUACCCUGGUAGUCCACGCCGUAAACGAUGAGUGCUAAGUGUUAGGGGGUUUCCGCCCCUUAGUGCUGCAGCUAACGCAUUAAGCACUCCGCCUGGGGAGUACGACCGCAAAGUUGAACUCAAAGGAAUUGACGGGGACCCGCACAAGCGGUGGAGCAUGAUGAUUUUAGUUCGANCACGCGACGU
rnacentral:rRNA from 1 species